UACGAAGGGGGCUAGCGUUGCCCGGAAUCACUGGGCGUAAAGCGCACGUAGGCGGAUCGAUCAGUCAGGGGUGAAAUCCCAGAGCUCAACUCUGGAACUGCCUUUGAUACUGUCGAUCUAGAGUAUGGAAGAGGUGAGUGGAAUUCCGAGUGUAGAGGUGAAAUUCGUAGAUAUUCGGAGGAACACCAGUGGCGAAGGCGGCUCACUGGUCCAUUACUGACGCUGAGGUGCGAAAGCGUGGGGAGCAAACAGG
rnacentral:rRNA from 1 species